rnacentral:rRNA from 1 species
UACCGAGGUCUCAAGCGUUGUUCGGAUUCAUUGGGCGUAAAGGGUGCGUAGGUGGCGGGGCAAGUUUGGUGUGAAAUCCCGGGGCUCAACCUCGGAACUGCACUGAAUACUGCCUUGCUAGAGCACUGGAGAGGGAACUGGAAUUUCCGGUGUAGCGGUGAAAUGCGUAGAUAUCGGAAGGAACACCAGUGGCGAAAGCGGCUUCCUGGUCCAGCACCGACGUUCAGGCACGAAAGCGUGGGGGGCAAACAGG